CUUUUACGUCGGCCUUCGCGAGCGUCUGGGCGGGUGGUAGGUGAGUGGGUAUUGCGGGCUAGUAUCCGAGCAAAAGAUGGUGGCGCAGGCCGAGUUAAGAGCUUUAAUCCUGUGAAGACAUCUUAGUGAAGAGUUUAGAGUGCUGAGAGUUGAAAGCUUGCACGUGGGAAACGUGCGGCCGGACUGCCACAUGUACUGAGGUUGAGUCGUGACGGCCACAGGCUCCGAGUUUUGGCGUGAGGAACCGCUGAUCGGCCACGGGCGCCGAACUUGCUGGCCUCCGGCAUGUGCCUGAGCGGCGGCGGAAAAACCACCUUAAUUGGGGCGGAGGGUUAGUUUUAACAGCAAAGGGCCUUUACUAAAAUGGCGAAGGCCUUCCGUCGGCGUUGUUUUAAAAUGGGAAGCCUCGACCCUGUAUUGAAACUGAGCUGUUCGAAGGCGGCGUUGUGUGCAAUUCGGAUUAAUGAAGGGGAAGGGUUUUGUGUGGAAAAACGCCUUGGAGUGUGACAUUUCUGCGAGAAUGCUUAAAUACCGAUUUCCCGCAGGAACAAUGGCGCUGUCUUCAGUGGCACAGUGGAGCAGCUCUGAAGAUGCAAAGAUACACGAAAAAACUUCCAGAACAUCUGGGAGAAUAUUUAAUGGAAAAUCGCUUGGUUAAAACCUGACACUUUUAACAGUGAACAGCGUUCUGAGUGUGGACGAGUAGCCAGUGAAGAUAAUGAAUGUCGAAUGUGACUGACUAGCAGCUUCAUUUUGAAUGAGGGUCGCUGUCUGCCCAUUGAUAGAGGCCAGAUUGUCUUGGAAGUUCCAAAGUUGCAACGAUUUCUGGCUAGUGCCACGAGGUUUACUUGACUGUUGUGUGAAAAGCUGAUAAGAAAACCAUCCAGAAAAAAGCUCUUCGUUUUACAAACAUGAAAAUAAAACAUGUAAUUUUGGAUUAUGUUCCUUUUUGUUAUUACUUUUAAAUAGGUCCUGAAAUAACAUGGGGAGCAUUAAAUGGAAAAUCCACUAA
rnacentral:lncRNA from 1 species